rnacentral:tRNA from 1 species
GGCAUCGCUCUACUCCUUUCUAGGACUGGCAGAAGCGCCGAGACUGGUUCUCGGAAGGGCUUCUACCGGUCUACAGAACAUGCCGUCGUCCUCAUGUCCCUUCAUCACUGGAGAUCAUCGCAGCGCCAAAGUGAUUUGGUGUGCUGUGAUGAGCGCCUGAGCUGGCCCACAGCCGCCCGCGGCCGCCUAUUUUAGGUGUUGGCCUGCUUGGGAUAUGGUGGGGGCCGGUAGCUCAGGUGGUUAGAGCGCACGCCUGAUAAGCGUGAGGUCGCAAGUUCAACUCUUGCUCGGCCCACCAGAUCGCAGUUGCGCAGGAAUUGGCGAGAGUUGAUUCCGCGACUGACGGCGUAGCAGGGCGCGACGCCGGUUUGUCGGCGUGCGAGGCGCUGGCGCUUUAGAUCGAGUUCCCUGAUACGGGGCCUUAGCUCAGCUGGGAGAGCACCUGCUUUGCAAGCAGGGGGUCAUCGGUUCGAUCCGAUAGGCUCCACCAUUCUCGCCGGUGGCGGCAUCAGAUGGUGGAAUCAGGUCGGUGGGAAUGGCGAUCGGCGCAUCAGA